AGAAAACUAUUUCUGAUACAAACCAACUUCCCCUGAACAGGAAGACUCCCCAACUUAAAUUUAGGUUGUUUUUGUAGAAAAACCUCCACACAUUAUAUGUAUAUGUGAGACUUCAAACUUUACAGGGUUAUGUGUGGAACUGACUGAUUUUCUAGCGAUAUAUGCAUGUGAAAGCUUAUACAUUUUAUUCUUUCAUUGAAGUAGAGUUGGGUUAAGCCAUGGGAAAAGCCCUUAUAUUGAGGAAUUUCAAUUUCAGGUUCGAGUUAUGCUCAUGUCGCUGAAGGCUGGAAAUCUCGGUUUGAACAUGGUUGCUGCUUGCCAUGUGAUUCUUCUUGAUCUUUGGUGGAACCCAUAUGCUGAAGAUCACGCCGUUGAUUGAGCACAUAGAAUCGGUCAGACUCGGCCCGUAACUGUUUCUCGUCUAACUGUUAAAGAUACAGUGGAGGACCGUUUAUUAGCCCUACAGGAGGAGAAGCGAAGGAUGGUAUCUUCCGCUUUCGGGGAAGGAGCUGGUGGCCACACUACUCGCCUCACGGUGGAAGAUCUGAGAUACCUCUUUAUGGUAUGAGCACUAACCAUAGGAUUCAGUGAAAUUUUUUGGGGGAGGGGUUUGUUUAUGGCUAUGGCAAUCGUGCAAGCCGAGCAUUAAGUAAACCAAGUGACUCAAAGAGUUUUGCUUCUUGUCGAUCACCACCAGAUUGAGUAGAUUGAGUGGGCGCUUGUGUAAUUCACAAUAGUUUAGCAUAAUAGUUAGUUGAAUUGAGAUAUGUAAUGGUGGUAACUAUUUGUACAUAGUUGUUGUUCUCGAUGUUCGUUCGAUGCCUAACUAUUGAACAGGACAUGAAGCUCAUAAUGUAAUGUGAUCUUACAGCUUCAGUUUUAACUUGUGGUUGAUCUUUUCUUUCUAAACU